ACGAAGGGUGCUAGCGUUGUUCGGAAUUACUGGGCGUAAAGCGUACGUAGGCGGCUUGGUAAGUCGAUUGUGAAAUCCCCGAGCUCAACUCGGGAACUGCAACCGAUACUGCUUUGCUAGAGUAUGGUGGGGGAUGGUGGAAUUCCUAGUGUAGGGGUGAAAUCCGUAGAUAUUAGGAGGAAUAUCGGUGGCGAAAGCGACCAUCUACGCCAAUACUGACGCUAAGGUACGAAAGCGUGGGGAGCAAACAGG
rnacentral:rRNA from 1 species